rnacentral:rRNA from 1 species
GACGAACCACACGAACGUUAUUCGGAAUUACUGGGCGUAAAGGGCGCGUAGGCGGCCACCGCAAGUCAGUUGUGAAAUCUCUGGGCUUAACCCAGAAAGGUCAACUGAUACUGCGGGGCUAGAGUGCAGAAGGGGCAACUGGAAUUCUCGGUGUAGCGGUGAAAUGCGUAGAUAUCGAGAGGAACACCUGCGGCGAAGGCGGGUUGCUGGGCUGACACUGACGCUGAUGCGCGAAAGCUAGGGGAGCGAACGGG